rnacentral:snRNA from 1 species
CUAAAUCCCUGCUAUUGAGAGAUACCAUGAUCAUGAAGGUGGCUUUCCCAGGGCGAGGCUUAUCCAUUGCACUUGGAAUGUGCUAAGGCCUGUGAUUUCCCCAAAUGUGGGGUACUCAAUUGCAUAAUUUGUGGUUGUGGGGGACUGCAUUUGUGCUCUCUGUCA